rnacentral:rRNA from 1 species
UACGUAGGUGGCAAGCGUUGUCCGGAUUUACUGGGCGUAAAGAGCGCGCAGGCGGUCGUUCAAGUCGCGUGUGAAAGCCCCCGGCUCAACUGGGGAGGGUCACGCGAUACUGAUCGACUCGAAGGCAGGAGAGGGUAGUGGAAUUCCCGGUGUAGUGGUGAAAUGCGUAGAUAUCGGGAGGAACACCGGUGGCGAAGGCGGCAUCCUGGACCGGCAUUGACGCUGAGGCGCGAAAGCCAGGGGAGCAAACGGG